rnacentral:rRNA from 1 species
GCUAAGGCCCCUAAAUGACUGCUCGGUGAUAAAGGAUGUAGGGGUGCAGAGACAAUCAGGAGGUUUUCCUAGAAGCAGCCACCCUUGAAAGAGCACAUAAUAGCUCACUGAUCGAGCGCUCUUGCGCUGAAGAUGAACGGGGCUAAGCGAUCUACCGAAGUUGUGGGAUGUAAAAAUGCAUCGGUAGGGGAGCGUUCCACCUUAGAGGGAAGCACCCGCACAAGCAGGUGUGGAUGAAGCGGAGCGAGAAUGUCGGCUUGAGUAACGCAAACAUUGGUGAGAAUCCAAUGACCCAAACACCUAAAGGUUCCUCUGCAAGGUUCAUCCAUGGAGGGUGAGUCAGGGCCUAAGAUCAGACCGAAAGGCGUAGUCGAUGGACAACAGGUGAAUAUUCAUGUACUACCCCUUGUUGGUCCCGAGGGACUAAGGAGGCUAGGUUAGCCGAAGGAUGGUUAUCGGUUCAAGGACACAAGGUGACCUUGGUUUUUCAGGGUAAGAAGGGGUAGAGAAAAUUCGAGGGAAAGGUGAAAAAAACCCCCAUCGGGGAAUGAAAUAGAACAUGAAACAGUGAGAUCCCAAGCAGUGGGAGGAGAAUGUGAUCUCUGACCGCGUGCCUGUUGAAGAAUGAGCCGGCGACUCAUAGACAGUGGCUUGGUUAAGGGAACCCACAGGAGCCGUAGCAAAAGCGAGACUUCAUAGGGCGAUUGUCGUUGCUUAUAGACCCGAACCUGGGUGAUCUAUCCAUGACCAGGAUGAAGCUUGGGUGAAACUAAGUGGAGGUCCAAACCGACUGAUAUUUAAGAAUCAGCGGAUGAGUUGUGGUUAGGGGUGAAAUGUCACUCAAACCCAGAGUUAGUUGGUUCUCCCCGAAAUGCAUUGAGGCGCAGCAAUUGAUUGGACAUCUAAGGGUAAAGUACUGUUUCAGUGCGGGCCACGAGAGCGGUACCAAAUUGAGGCAAACUCUGAAUACUAGAUAAUGAUGGGGGAUAAGCUUCAUCAUCGAGAGGGAAACAACUCGAUCACCAGCUAAGGCCCCUAAAUGACUGCUCGGUGAUAAAGGAUGUAGGGGUGCAGAGACAAUCAGGAGGUUUUCCUAGAAGCAGCCACCCUUGAAAGAGCACAUAAUAGCUCACUGAUCGAGCGCUCUUGCGCUGAAGAUGAACGGGGCUAAGCGAUCUACCGAAGUUGUGGGAUGUAAAAAUGCAUCGGUAGGGGAGCGUUCCACCUUAGAGGGAAGCACCCGCACAAGCAGGUGUGGAUGAAGCGGAGCGAGAAUGUCGGCUUGAGUAACGCAAACAUUGGUGAGAAUCCAAUGACCCAAACACCUAAAGGUUCCUCUGCAAGGUUCAUCCAUGGAGGGUGAGUCAGGGCCUAAGAUCAGACCGAAAGGCGUAGUCGAUGGACAACAGGUGAAUAUUCAUGUACUACCCCUUGUUGGUCCCGAGGGACUAAGGAGGCUAGGUUAGCCGAAGGAUGGUUAUCGGUUCAAGGACACAAGGUGACCUUGGUUUUUCAGGGUAAGAAGGGGUAGAGAAAAUACCUCGAGCCAAUGUCCGAGUACCAAGGCGCUACGGUGCGGAAGUAACCCAUGCCAUACUCCCAGGAAAAGCUCAAACGACCUUCAACAAAAGGGUACUUGUACCCGAAACUGACACAGGUGGGUAGGUAAAGAAUUCCUAGGGGCGCGAGACAACUUUCUCGAAGGAACUCAGCAAAAUAGCCCUGUAACUUCGGGAGAAGGGGGUGCCUUCUCACAAAGGGGGUCGUAGUGACCAGGCCCGGGCGACUGUUUACCAAAAACACAGGUCUCCGCAAAGUCGUAAGACCAUGUAUGGGGGUUGACGCUUGCCCAGUGUCAGAAGGUCAAGGAAGUUGGUGACCUGAUGAUAGGGGAGUCCGCGACCGAAGCCCUAGUGAACGGCGGCCCUAACUAUAACGGUCCUAAGGUAUCAAAAUUCCUUAUUGAGUAAGUUUUGACCCACACGAAAGGCAUAAUGAAAUAGUCAUGUCUAUGAAGAUGAGGAUUACAUGCACUUUGAAAGAAAGAUCCUAUGAAGCUUUACUAUUUCCUGGGAUUGGCUUUGGGCCUUUCCUGCGCAGCUUAGGUGGAAGGCGAAGAAGGCCCCCUUUCGGGGGGGCCCGAGCCAUCACUGAGAUACCACUCUGGAAGAGCUAGAAUUCUAAACUUGUGACAGGACCUACGGGCCAAGGGACAGUCUCAAGCAGACAGUUUCCAUGGGGUGUAGGCCUCCCAAAAGGUAACAGAGACGUGCAAAGGUUUCCUUGAGCCAGAUGGAGAUUGGCCCUCGAGUGCAAAGGCAGAAGGGAGCUUGACUGUAAGACCCACUCAUCGAGCAGGGACGAAAGUCGGCCUUAGUGAUCUGACAAUGCCGAGUGGAAGGGUCGUUGCUCAACAGAUAAAAAUUGCACUAGGGAUAACAAGCUGAUCUUCCCCAAGAGUUCACAUCGACGGAAAGGUUUGGCACCUCGAUGUCGGCUUUCGCCACCUGGGGUUGUAGCAUGUUCCAAAGGUUGGGCUGUUCGCCCUUUAAACGGUAUGUGAGCUGGGUUCAGAACGUCGUGAGACAGUUCAGUCCAAUAUUUUUU